UACGUAGGGUGCGAGCGUUUAAUCGGAAUUACUGGGCGUAAAGCGUGCGCAGGCGGCGGCUCAAGUCAGGUGUGAAAUCCCCGGGCUUAACCUGGGAAUUGCGCUUGAAACUAGGCUGCUUGAGUGUGGCAGAGGGGGGUGGAAUUCCGCGUGUAGCAGUGAAAUGCGUAGAGAUGCGGAGGAACACCGAUGGCGAAGGCAGCCCCCCUGGGCUAGCACUGACGCUCAGGCACGAAAGCGUGGGGAGCAAACGGG
rnacentral:rRNA from 1 species